GACGUCAUCCAGCCCCCAAGGCUCCAGGACGCAAAGGGUCCCCUGAUCUGGCAGUCCCUGGACCUACCCUGGAGAGCGUGGGGGGACAAAGGCCGGACGCGCCGCCCGCUGCCGCCUCCAGGAAGCCCUCCCUUGCCAGGACAGUGGAGUUGGCCGGCUGAACAGGAAAAGGAACAGUCCUUCCAAAGUGCCUACGGAAAGCUUUGUCCCAUCCUUGAAAAAUUGCUAAUGGGUUUGGAGAUACGAGGUGGAGAUGACUAGCAAUCAAACUCAAAGGUGGAAGUCACAUCGAGGCAGAUGAGCAGAUGAGGGGACCUAGAGAAGAAGAGAGGUGCAAGGAGAGCCCAGCCAGCAGGAACAUCUGCCCCAGUAGGCAGCACUGCCCCACAUCAGAGUCGAGGAAAGCAAAGCUCGGAUUGGAUAAAAGAAACUUGCAAACACGGUCAGUGCUUACUGCAUGUGGGCUCAGAGCACGUUACCCUCCUUCCCUGCAUGUUCCUGUGAAACGGGUUUACUGCUCUAACUCUCAGGGACACUGUGAAGACCAAACGAGAAAAUAGAAACAAACAUAAUUUAUAAACCAUAAAGUACUGACACCAAAAGAGGGGCGAGCACAGCAUUGUGAAUGUGCUGGUACUAAAUGGUUUGUUUUAAGAUGAUUUUAUGGUGUGUGAAUUUCACUUGAAUAAAUUUUUUUAAUGGAGUUCAUGGGGACGCUGCAGGAUGUCAAUUAACUUUGGACAUUUUAGCAGCGCUUUAGGUGUUAAAAUUAUUUUUUAAAAAAUACAGGAUGAAGGGAAAAGCUUCAUGACAUUGGAUUUGGCAGUGAUUCCUUGGAUAUGACCCCAAAAGCACAGAUAACGAAAGAAAAAAUAGUUAAAUUGUCUUCAUCAAAAUUAAAACUUUUGUACAUCAAAGAACUCUUUCAAAAGAGUGAAAAAGUCACAGAAUAAGAGAAAAUCAUAUACCUGAUAAAGAAUUAAUAUUCAGAGCCAGAUGCAGUGGCUCAUGCCUGUAAUCCCAGCACUUUGGGAGGCCAAGGCAGGCAGAUCACUUGAGAUCAGGAGUUCGAGACAAGCCUGGCUAAAAUGGUGAAACCCCAGCUCUACUAAAAAUACAAAAAUUAGCCAGGCGUGGUGGCGUGCACCUGGAAUCCCAGCUAUUCGGGAGG
rnacentral:lncRNA from 10 species